rnacentral:rRNA from 1 species
AGUGAACGCUGGCGGUAGGCCUAACACAUGCAAGUCGAACGGCAGCACAGUAAGAGCUUGCUCUUACGGGUGGCGAGUGGCGGACGGGUGAGGAAUACAUCGGAAUCUACUUUUUCGUGGGGGAUAACGUAGGGAAACUUACGCUAAUACCGCAUACGACCUACGGGUGAAAGCAGGGGAUCUUCGGACCUUUCGCGAUUGAAUGAGCCGAUGUCGGAUUAGCUAGUUGGCGGGGUAAAGGCCCACCAAGGCGACGAUCCGUAGCUGGUCUGAGAGGAUGAUCAGCCACACUGGAACUGAGACACGGUCCAGACUCCGACGGGAGGCAGCAGUGGGGAAUAUUGGACAAUGGGCGCAAGCCUGAUCCAGCCAUACCGCGUGGGUGAAGAAGGCCUUCGGGUUGUAAAGCCCUUUUGUUGGGAAAGAAAAGCAGCAGGUUAAUACCCCGCUGUUCUGACGGUACCCAAAGAAUAAGCACCGGCUAACUUCGUG